rnacentral:rRNA from 1 species
AGGAGAGUUUGAUCCUGGCUCAGGAUGAACGCUAGCUACAGGCUUAACACAUGCAAGUCGAGGGGCAGCAUGAAGUCAGCUUGCUGACUUUGAUGGCGACCGGCGAAUGGGUGAGUAACGCGUAUCCAACCUGGCCUGUGCUCAUGGAUAGCCCUUAGAAAUGAGGAUUAAUACAUGAUGGUCUCCUUUGAUCGCCUGAGAUUAGGAGUAAAGGCUUGCCGGCACAGGAUGGGGAUGCGUUCCAUUAGAUGGUUGGCGGGGUAACGGCCCACCAAGUCUAUGAUGGAUAGGGGUUCUGAGAGGAAGGUCCCCCACAUUGGUACUGAGACACGGACCAAACUCCUACGGGAGGCAGCAGUGAGGAAUAUUGGUCAAUGGGCGGAAGCCUGAACCAGCCAAGUAGCGUGAAGGAAGACGGCCCUACGGGUUGUAAACUUCUUUUGUCGGGGAAUAACCGCGGGCACGUGUGCCCGCCUGCAUGUACCCGGUGAAUAAGGACCGGCUAAUUCCGUGCCAGCAGCCGCGGUAAUACGGAAGGUCCGAGCGUUAUCCGGAUUUAUUGGGUUUAAAGGGAGCGUAGGCGGAAGCUUAAGUCAGCCGUUAAAUAACGGGGCUCAACCCCGUAGUGCGGUUGAAACUGGUCUUCUUGAGUGCACGAGAGGUAAGUGGAAUUCGUGGUGUAGCGGUGAAAUGCUUAGAUAUCACGAAGAACUCCGAUUGCGAAGGCAGCUUACUGGUGUGUUACUGACGCUGAUGCUCGAAGGUGCGGGUAUCAAACAGGAUUAGAUACCCUGGUAGUCCCCU